GGGAUCAUUACCGAGUUUACAACUCCCAAACCCCUGUGAACAUACCACUUGUUGCCUCGGCGGAUCAGCCCGCUCCCGGUAAAACGGGACGGCCCGCCAGAGGACCCCUAAACUCUGAUGCGAUAAGUAAUGUGAAUUGCAGAAUUCAGUGAAUCAUCGAAUCUUUGAACGCACAUUGCGCCCGCCAGUAUUCUGGCGGGCAUGCCUGUUCGAGCGUCAUUUCAACCCUCAAGCACAGCUUGGUGUUGGGACUCGCGUUAAUUCGCGUUCCCCAAAUUGAUUGGCGGUCACGUCGAGCUUCCAUAGCGUAGUAGUAAAACCCUCGUUACUGGUAAUCGUCGCGGCCACGCCGUUAAACCCCAACUUCUGAAUGUUGACCUCGGAUCAGGUAGGAAUACAUGCGAUAAGUAAUGUGAAUUGCAGAAUUCAGUGAAUCAUCGAAUCUUUGAACGCACAUUGCGCCCGCCAGUAUUCUGGCGGGCAUGCCUGUUCGAGCGUCAUUUCAACCCUCAAGCACAGCUUGGUGUUGGGACUCGCGUUAAUUCGCGUUCCCCAAAUUGAUUGGCGGUCACGUCGAGCUUCCAUAGCGUAGUAGUAAAACCCUCGUUACUGGUAAUCGUCGCGGCCACGCCGUUAAACCCCAACUUCUGAAUGUUGACCUCGG
rnacentral:rRNA from 1 species